AUGGAUUAUAGAUCAGGGCUGCUGGUUUUAGCCCUCUGCUGGACAGGUGUUUCAGGUCAGACUCUGACUCAGUCUGAACCAGUGGUUAAAAGACCAGGAGAAUCCGACAAGCUGACCUGUACUGGUUCUGGUUACACAUUCAGUAGUUAUGCGAUGGCCUGGGUCAGACAGGCUCCUGGAAAAGGACUGGAGUGGAUCACCUACAUCAGCAGUGGUGGUGGCACUCAGUUCUACUCCCAAUCAGUUAAGGGCCAGUUCAUCAUCUCCAGAGACAACAACCAACAGCAGGUGUUUCUGCAGAUGAACAGUCUGAAGCCUGAAGAUUCUGCUGUUUAUUAUUGUGCUCGAGAGCCACAAUGA